UUCCACUUUGUCUGCAGCAAUGCCUCAUGCUGCUGGACCAAAGAGGAGGAGGCACCGAAUCCCACGGCAAGAAAAGGAUAAAGACCAACAGACUGAACCUGACAUGUCGGUGCUGGCAGAGGCACAGUUCGGAGAAAUGCCCAGUCCAACUUCUUUGUCUCACUAAUCUAAGCUUGCACUGCAGCCCUGGAUAUGACUAUAUGGAGGAUGACGAUGAAGGACCACACAGUUUCUUUAACUGUUCAAUAGUUACUUUACCUCUGUUCAGCCAGAUAUUGCACUGUUUGUAGUUUUACUUGAACAUUGUGAAUCAAAAAUAAUUAAAGUACGGUAAAAUUAGAUGUUAUUUACCUGACACAUAAAUUAAGUUUUCUAUAUAUUUUCUUUUGUCGCUUUUUGUACCUAGAAAAUGAUGACGAAACAUAAGAAUGACCACUGUCAACCCGUACAAAGCUUUGUUUGGUAAAUAUUUGGCCGCCUAAAUAAAAUGACCGUGGGGUUUAAAACUUG